AAGGAUCAUUACCACUGGUCGUUUUACACGACUAGCCAAAACGCGUACCCUGGCAAAGUAAGCAAUUACUUGGCCUGUGAUUAACUUUUACCGGUUAAUUACAAACACUUUCAUUUUUUAAACCAUUCUCACGAUUAUAUCUCUGAUGCCAAGUGAUAACUUCGAAAGGAGUUUCACGUUGUUUAAUUGAAAACAACUCUUAACAACGGAUAUCUUGGCUCUC
rnacentral:misc_RNA from 1 species